rnacentral:rRNA from 1 species
UAGGGAAGAAGCGAAAGUGACGGUACCUGCAGAAGAAGCGCCGGCUAACUACGUGCCAGCAGCCGCGGUAAUACGUAGGGCGCAAGCGUUAUCCGGAAUUAUUGGGCGUAAAGAGCUCGUAGGCGGUUUGUCGCGUCUGCCGUGAAAGUCCGGGGCUCAACUCCGGAUCUGCGGUGGGUACGGGCAGGCUAGAGUGAUGUAGGGGAGACUGGAAUUCCUGGUGUAGCGGUGAAAUGCGCAGAUAUCAGGAGGAACACCGAUGGCGAAGGCAGGUCUCUGGGCAUUAACUGACGCUGAGGAGCGAAAGCAUGGGGAGCGAACAGGAUUAGAUACCCUGGUAGUCCAUGCCGUAAACGUUGGGCACUAGGUGUGGGGGACAUUCCACGUUUUCCGCGCCGUAGCUAACGCAUUAAGUGCCCCGCCUGGGGAGUACGGCCGCAAGGCUAAAACUCAAAGGAAUUGACGGGGGCCCGCACAAGCGGCGGAGCAUGCGGAUUAAUUCGAUGCAACGCGAAGAACCUUACCAAGGCUUGACAUGGACCGGACCGCCGCAGAGAUGUGGUUUCUCCUUUUGGGGCCGGUUCACAGGUGGUGCAUGGUUGUCGUCAGCUCGUGUCGUG